ACUGCAACCCCUGAUCCUUAACCCACUGACCGAGGCCACUCAGGGAUACUGGUCAGAUUCUUAACCCAAUGAGCCACAAUGGGAACUCCCACAACUUCAGUUCUGCCUGAUGAUUCCACAGUGUCCCUGGCCAGGGACCAUUCCAGAAUUUUUCUUAGUCACAAUAGGCAUCCAGUAGCCACAGAUGCCACUGGAUCCAUCCAAACUCAUCCCUCAUGCCUCUUCCUAGGGAAAAAACUUUAAGGUUCUUGCUUUAGUGAUAAAUUCAUUCAACAAACGUUAAUUUUAUGACCUCAUUCUGGCAUCUGUUUUCAUGAAGCUGAUGUGGGAAGUCAGGAAAUUAAUGGUAAAGAAACAAAAAUUAAACUGCAGAGAGUGCUGAAUGCUGUAAAGAAAAUAUGGAGAGGAAAGAGUGUAACUGGGAGAGAGAGGCCCUCGGAGGACAUGAAGAGGGGAGUCAGGUGUUCAGUGAGACUGCAGUGUCCCCACAUUCGAAUGCAGUGUACUCCUGGAAACCAAGACAACAUCAGUUCUUAAUACAGUGAAAUCCUACUGCCUAUCCAUCAGGCUUUCAUUCAUGAAAAUCAUCAAAUGAGAAGGUAGAAAUGGUGAGAGGUAAAGUACAAUGUAAAUCUUAAAUUAAGAUGACCAAAGGAACACGCUGAAGUCUUAAGAGGAAACAUAUAUAUGAAGAACCGCAGCUUCAGGUUAGAGAGUCUAAUAAUGAAAGCCUCACCUGUUGCCCAGGUGAGGCAGAUGAAAGGAUGCACCACCAUCAGAGGCUUAGUUAGCUCUGCCAUCACCUGUGUAGGACAAAACAUGGAUGGUGUCUGCUCACCCUGGGACGCUGUCCUGCUCGCAGCCUCUAGGCUAUUCUCUGGCACAAGAGGUCCUGCUCUAUAUCACUUGAAUCUGUUGGACUCAGAAACGGGAGCCAGGGGAAAUACGGAAGCAGGACAAGAAGCAAGAAAACAGAGACCAAGAGAGAGGCCGAAGCAAAUUAAUGCUGAACACUGGGGAGAAGCCCAUCCUUCUUCAGCUGCUGGAGGAAAGUGAAUGAGCAAAUGAAUGAGCAAGUGAGUGAGGGAAGCUUGCCAAUCCUGCUUUCUGCAAAGGAAAUGUUUGCCACAUGGACAGAAAAGAUGACAGACCGCAGUUCCUCCAGCUGUAGCAAGAUUAAAAAAUGAAUACUAAUGAUUGAUUUCAAAUUAGGCAGCUCUUUUUCUUUUGCCUGCAGCUGAUGCGGUAAGGGAUAUGGAGUCUCAAGAGAUCACUGGUGUUUAGGUGGCUGUAACUCACCCAAUCACCAUUUUUUUUUUUUUAAGUCCUUGUUAUGUUCAGUUUCAUGAGACUUCAUGUUUUUAGCAUUUUAAUUGUGUUUGUUCACUCCAGUGAUGAAACAGAUUUUGUCCCCAGCCUGUUUUCCAUCUGGUUGCUUUGUAAUCAUAAACAAACUAGGUUAGAAGUGAUUUUUUUAAAGCCAAAACUCCCAUUUUCUAUUCUGUUUCAUGUAGGUGAGCACUGGAAUGAAAUUAUUUUCUAAUUUUCUUCAUGCGCAUUUAUUAUUUAGGGUGUGUAUGUGUGUAUUUAAAUAUAUGUAUAUAUCAUGUCUAUAUCUGCAUAUACUGUUAUAUGCACACAUUAAUAUUUGUAUGUGUAUAUAUAAUACUGAUAUAUGCAGAUAUAUACAUGCACAUACCUCUAGUUUUUCUCAUUUAUUGGCCCUUUAAAGAUUUUCUGUUAUAUUCUUUCAGACUGUCAUAGUUUUAGGACAUGACCUGUGACCUCAGGUGUGUGCAGAAAGCGGACAUCACCAACCGGGGAAGGCGGGUUUGUUUUGACCGCCGUAUCAGGAAGGAAAGGGUUGUAUAGACGUGAACUGGAGAACUCAGUGAGCAUGUCUGACAUGCUGAAAGUGGUGUGUUGGCCCCAGGGAAGCCUGGAAGGGUGGUGCCCUCCACACCAUCUCUGUCCUGUGGGUCCAGGCAGUAAGGACGUUGAGGACGGAUCCUCUGCUGGGUGGGCCAUCAGUGCCCUCAGUGAAGGUAAACUCACACCCUCACAUCGUAGCAGUUCUUUAAAACCAAUCCUGUCUUUAUUUAGAAAGAUGCAGCGGGUGGUGAGGGGAGCCAGCAGAGGAGCUGGGCAGGAUGGGGCAGGGCGGGGUGAUUAGCACGCAGCCGUCUUUCUGUUCUUUAUAGAUCUGCCCACCUAGCCUGCCAGUUCAACUUUAGGGAAAGAUCCUAGAGACUAGAGAUGGUCCUGUGUCUCUCCGUGAGCAGCCCAGGGUCAGUGCUCCACACAGCCAGCUGGGGGACCAACGGGCUCUCCUUCUGCUCUCAGUGGCGGCCAGGUGCUGCCUGGUCCCCUGCAGCUGCACACGAGGCCCUGGAGAACCCGGAGCACUGCUGCUGCCUGGCAAAUAUUGCACGUUAGUGCCCCUAGAUAAGGGCCCCUAGAUGGGCAGCUGUGGCAAGCAGGGCUCUGAACAGGCUGGGAAGGCCAUUCUGGGUCCUGUUUGUACCUAUGCGUAGCUGCUGAGAUGUUAUGGGGUCAGGGGAAGACCAGGAUGAGAGUGCACAAGGGGUGCAGGAGGAGAAAGGAGAGGGCCUCUCUCCUUCCCUCUUAUCUAUCACCCUCCAUGGGCCACAUAUGCUCCUCUAUGCUUCUUUUGAAUCUGGAUGCUAUUUUAGGGGUCACUAGAAACAAAGAAUAGUGAAAGAAAAGCUUGCUCCUAGAUACAUACCUAAAUGCAUGCCCAAGCUAUCCUUAACUUACAGGACUAUGCAACGUUGUCAAGACUCAAGGAGGGGUCUCCCCUCCUGCCUGCUUCAGAACUGGGCUCCAUCAAGUACCCUCUCUCCAAAUCUUCAACUUCCUUACAUUUCCAGGCUCUUUUCUCUGGAAGCUAGCCCACAAAUACAAGAAUGCAUGCAAGAAUCUAUCAGCCAAAGGAAAACAAACAUUUAUUUGAAUUGGUGCUACCUCAAUAAGUGUCCCCUUCCUUUUUAUACAAAUUCUCCAAAGAAUAGCUGACACCCACUAUCUCUACUCCUUCACCAUAUGUUUGCUCUCAGGGCGUUGUGAUCUGUCUUCUGAGCUUCUGUUUGAAGGUUCUCAUUGUUCACCAAAGCCCAUCUCAUUUUCAGCCAGUGGACUCUAUUUAUUCUUUAUCUAUCUGGACCUCCUUGAGGCACUGACAUCAGAAUGUAAAUCUUAUCUGUGCAGAGAUUUCUGUUUUGUUCUCUGCUCUAUCCACAGCAUCUGGAAUAGCGCCUGGUAUGGAGUCUGGGCUCAGUAAGUAUUACCUGAAUGAAUAAACUGAUGAGUUCUUUCCCAAGACUAACUGAAGCGUCCACUCCUGGGCUUUGGUGACUCAGCACCCUCCUGGCUCUCCUUCCUGACCAUCCUUUUUGCUUCUUUCACAGAGACCUUUCAGUGAACAUCCUUGUGUUUUGCUGUUCCCCAGGGCUUUUCAUCCUACUUUACUCUGAGUAAUCUUAUCAACUGGAUGUUUUCGUGACCUCUGCAUGCUGAGGAGUCCCAAAUUAUAUCCUCAGCUGGGACCUGUCUUUGGAAUUUCAGGCUCAAAUAUCCAAACAUCUGUUGGUCAUCUUUCCCUUGCACCCUAUAAAAUAUCUCAAAAAUCAACCUUUACUGAACCCUCAGUCUCAUCCCCAGAUCUGCUUCUUCUCUUGAUCUCCAGUUAUGGUAGCGCCCCUAGCCCUUAUCACCAGAGCCAGUGUUAGCAAGGACUUUAGUAUGAGCCCCUGCUUGGAGUUAGUCACAUCUUUUUUGUGUCCGGCCAACUGGAAGGGCGGAUCUGCCUUGGAAACCUGUUUACACAAGGGAUUACAAGUUCUCUCGGGAAAGGACUCAUCCUAAGGGAUGGACAGAGUAGGCUGGCUUGAAAUUGCUGACUCUAGAAAAGCUGAUGGUCACUUUUUACCUUUUCUCCCUUUUAGAUUCCCUUGGGAUAGGAAACUCAGCACUUAUUAUGGUGACCCUUAAUAUAAUCCUACUUAUGCUAACUUGCCUCUUCAAAGUUUUAAAAAUUCGCCUCUGCAUCCUGAUCAUUUAUUUGCCUGUUUGCCCUCAGCUCUGGUCCCCAGCUUUCCUCUGCUCUGCUCUGCAUUGCAGGAAAGUGCAUUUCCCUCAUCAGUGGGGUUCCAGGUAGGGUUGGCCAUGGGAGGCACUGCUGGAAGGCUGGAAGGUGGUGGCAGGGUGUUUUCCCUCCCCUGCUCUGCCUUUGACAGCCUCUUCCCGUGAGAGCUCUACUUCCCACCAGAUGCCUCAGCUUUGGCUCUGCUAACUCUACCUCCUCCCUUUGUCCUUCCAGCCUAGGGGUAACAGGGACUUCUUGAUUUCUCAUUUGCAAACCUCCAGAUUGCUCCUUUUGCCUCGCUUGGGCUUUUCAUCAGCUUCAUCACUGGACAAUCAACCCACUAUAUUAGUUUUCCCUCUCUUUGAAAGACCCCGGUCAUCCCCCUCCUAUGUUUCUCUAUCCCUGUGUCCCACCUCAUCUUCCUUCCUCCAGUCUUUAAAUUACCUUGAACCUGCUAUAGCAAUGUGUCUGUAACACAAAUCUGAUCUCGCCACUUCCAUGUUUAAAACCCUUCCAUGAUUUCAUGCACAUCUAGGAAAAAUUCUAGACCAAACACACCCAACAGGGUGGCCAUUAGCUACAUGUGACUAUUCAGCACUUGAAAUGUGGCCAUCAGAAUUGAGAUGUGCUUAUUAUAAGAGUGAAAUACUCAGUGUAUUUUGAACACUUAGUGCAAAAGAAAGCUCAAAAAAUACCUCAUUAAUUCCUUUUAAUGUCAAUUAUGUGUUGAAAUGAUAAAAAUUGAUUAUAUUAGGUUUAAAAAAUAUUUUUUUAAUUAAUUUUAAAUUUUACCUGUUUAUCUUUUUUUUUUUUUUUUUUUGUCUUUUUAGGGCUGCACCUGUGGCAUAUGGAUGUUCCCAGGCUAGGGGUUGAAUAGGAGCUGCAGCUACUGGCCUGUACUACAGCCACAGGAAUCCAGGAUCCAAGCUGCAUUUGUGACCUACACAUAGUUCAUGGCAAUGCCGGAUCUUAGCCCACUGAGUGAGGCCAGGGAUCAAACCUGCAUCCUCAUGGAUACUAGUCAGAUUUGUUUCCAUUGAGCCACUCCUAUCUGCUUUUAAAAAAAAAAAAAAUUAUUGGAGUGUAGUUGAUUUGCAAUAUUGUAUUAGUUUCAGGUAUACAGCAAAGUGAAUCAGUUAUACAUACACAUAUAUCCAUUCAUUUUCAGAUGCUUCUCCAUAUAGGUUGUUAUGUUUUUGCUGGGCUUUUAAAAUGCGUAUAUUACAAAAUUAAAAAAUAUAAAUGCGGCUUUGCAUUUCUUUGGGGCAGCACUGUUCCAGACUAUGAGGCCCCCGGGAUCUCCACCCUGCUCACCUCUCCAGCCUCACUGACACCACAUGCUGCUUUUCACUUUAGGCUCUAGGAAAAACAGAGUCAGGAUCUACUAGUUCUGACCCUUCCACCCCACCGCACCCCAGGUCAGUUAGCGUCACACUCCCAACUACUAGGGGUCAUGCCCACCCCCACCUGCAGACUCACCCCCACCAGGAAAAAGAAAGGAAUGCUGAGAAGAGUCCAGAUAAUGCAGAUGCUGGGUUGAAGGCUGAAACUUUCCAGGAGAGGCUCAAAAAUGUCGUGUGUUAAAACUUGGUGCACCUCCCUGAAAGAUCUUGCUGGGUCUUCUCUUAGCUUUGAUUCUUCCUUAGAUAGUUGUUGAUGCUCUUGAGUCAUCCAUUCACCCCGAGGCUGGUGGAAUAUGAGAAACCAGAUCCUUCCUUCUCUUCCUUCCAUUCAAAGGAAUGGUCCUGUAACUCAUCAGCUUCAAAUAACAGAGUAGCCCCUGCUCCUAAUAAAGCGGGCUUACCCAGGCUAUGCUCUGUGUCUGCAGCUCUUGCUUGGAGGCUGCAGUGGAAGUUGAGGAAAGAUGGGGUCAAGGUUUCAGAGGUGUUGAUCCUGAUAGCUCAGAGGCACAGCUAAGGCACACCACACUGUGUCCUGGCUCUGGGCCUUUGCUCAUGUACCCUCUGCCCCACUCCCUACUUCUUCCCUCUCCCUGCUCACUCCACUUGUUCUAAAAGAUGCAUUUCAGCUGUUCUUCUGGGCUUGCUUUCCUGACCCCUGCCUAUUAACACCAAUGUUGGAUUUAUCACAUCUUCUUUUUACCAAUCUGUCAGUAUGGCUCUCUCCCUCAUUGCACUGUGUGAGUGUCUUAAUAAUGGCAACAUUAUCUUGUUCAUCUUCGACUCUAGUGCCUGGCCAGAGCAAUGAUCAGUUAAUAUUAAAUGAAUAAAUGGAUGGAUAGAUGGGUGGGACGGGGGUGUGAAUGAUGAAAGUAUUUCUGAGAUUCCCCAUAGUACCUGACAUAAUGUGUUACACAAAUGGAUCCAUAAAUAUUACCAUUUAACUGACGGAAAGUUAGGUUCCAAGAUAUGCUCAUUAAACUAAGCUACAAAAUCAAAAUAAAAACCAGAUUGCUGGUCUUGCUGCCAGUAUUUUUGUAUGUCAGGAAUACCCCCAGAUUUGGAUUAAGUUUGGGGCCAGUUUAGCUGUAGACCCGGACAAAGACGGAAGAGGCAGAUUGGCAGAGUGACGAGCUGUCACGUUUCCAACAGGACAAACAGCUCAUCAGCCAAGAACUCUCUCUCUCAGAUGUCAAUUUACACAUUUCUCAAUUAAUGAUUAAAUUCAUUGCUAUCUUUUUUGUUUGUUUGUUUGCUUUUUAGGGCCGCACUCUCGGCAUAUAGAUGUUCCCAGGCUGGGGAUCAAACUGAAGCUGUAGCUGCUGUCCUACACCACAGCUCACAGCAAUGAGGGACCAUUGAGAGAGGCCAGGGAUCAAACCCGAAUCCUCAUGGAUACUAGUCGGAUUCGUUUCCGCUGAGCCACAAUGGGAACUCCCUCAUUGCUAUCAUUUUUAUCUUGAAUUUAAUACUAGUGUAUCCGAAGGUAUACUGACUCCAGAGUGGGAAACCCGAGUCCUGGUUAAUAUCAGGAUUUCCUGACAAGUCAUGUAUUCCCUCUGAAUCUCUUUUUUCAUCAGAAACUGGGAGAAAUAGCACUUACUCUGCCUAUUUCACCAGGUUGUGGUGAGAAUCAAAUUGAAUUAGGUUCAUGAAGAGCUUUGUAAACUAUAAAAUGUUGUACAAAUGUUGGCUAUUAUAAUAGUAUUGUAUAUCAUUUCUCAAUUCCACAGGGACUUAGAAGGAAAUAGUUGAAUAAGAACAUAAUUUGAUAGAAAUAUUUGCACAUUCAAUUAUGUUUUAUCGCAGCCUACCUGCCCAAAUAGUUUUUUAAUCUGUAUUAAUCUUAAAUGCUGUUUUUAUUAGCUGGAGUUUCAAAACACUUUAAUAAACAAAUCUCUCUGUGUAUAGAAUCCAAUCUUUCUAUUUGUCAUGUUGGCAGUCUCAAUUAAAUGCCCUGACAUGCAUUUUAAUUCUUUUUUUAAAAUAAAUAAGACACUUAUCCCUUUUGAAGCUGAAGAUGGACUAGGAAAUAUUUUGCUGGCCCAGAGUCAUAUGUGUGUGGGGGUACAUGUGUGCAUGUGCAUGUGUGUAUGUGCAUGCAGGAUGGUCAUUACUUUAUUGAGAACUUUGUUCGAUUCUAGCUCAACACUGGCUUUUUCCAUGCCCUUAUGUUUACUUAAUCAAAUUUUAAGAAUAGUAUUUAAAUUAUAACUUACAGUAGGAUGAAUAAUGGUCCCUAAUGAUAGCAUGUCCUAAUCCCUGGGACCUGUAAGUGUAACCUUAGAUGGAAAAGGGAUCUUUGCAAGUAUAAUUAAAUUAAGGUGUUUGACAUGGGGAAAUUCUCCUGGAUUAUCCAGGAGGACCCCAAAUGCAAACACAAUUGUCCUUGUAACAUAGAGACAGAGGGACCAUUGACAUGCAGACUCAGAGGAGAAGACCACAUGACCACGGAGGCAGAGAUGAAGUGAUGUGGCCAAAAGCCAUGGAAUGCUGGCAGCCCCAGAAGCUGGGAGCAGCAAAGAGUAGUCUCUCAGAACCUCCAGGGAGUGACUCUGCUGGCACCUUGAUUUUGGCCCAUCGACACUUACUUUGGAUUUCUGGCCUCUAGAGCUGUGAGCAAAUAAAUUUGUGUUGUUUGAAGCAGCCAACUUUGUGGCCAGUCAUUUUAAUGACUUUAGGAAACUCACACUAACCCUUCAUGUGACUCAGCAGGAAAGGCACUUACUUAUAAGAACUAGUUAUAGAUCAGUGAUUCCUAACUUCCUCUGGAUUUAAUAAAAAUGUGUUACUUGGAGUUCCCGUUGUGGCGCAGUAGUUAACCCAUCCGACUAGGAACCAUGAGGUUGUGGGUUCAAUCCCUGGCCUUGCUCAGUGGGUUAAUGAUCCGACGUUGCCGUGAGCUGUGGUGUAGGUUGCAGACACGGCUCGGAUCCAGCGUUGCCGUGGCUCUGAUGUAGGCUGGCCACUACAGCUCCAAUUAGACCCCUAGCCUGGGAACCUCCAUAUGCUGCGGGAGCGGCCAUAGAAAAGGCAAAAAGACAAAAAAAAAAAAAGUGUUAACUGAGUUCUGUAAGGUACUGAAAUGGUGCUGGGUGCAUUAAGGCACAUAAAGAAGUAGGAAACACUAUCUUUCCCCCAGAGAGGCUUGCCAUCUCGUUGAAGAACCAAAACAAAUAGAAACAAAACAUUGAGCACAUAAUUCAAGACAGUGCUUAAGUCGAUGGAUGAAGUCCUCACGUGGUGUGAACAAAGUGAGCUGAGUUAAGGGCCAGGAUGAACAAAGUGGUCACAAGCAGGGAGUCUGUCAAAACUUUGGGGUCGAAAGUUCAUGAUGGGAAAAAGUGAAAAUAAGUUCAGCAGUUAGGAAGGGACCCCUUGCAGAGGGAAAAUCAAACACUAGACCAUCAGCUUGAUAUUAGAGGAAGCAGGGACCAUUAACUGUUUGGAGGCAGAAGAGUCAAAGGAUGAAAGCCAUGCCUAAGGAAGGCUCAUUUGUUUCUGGUGAGGCAGGUUGUACAUUCUAGUUUGCUUGGCAGUCUCCUUUCUCCCAGUAGACAGUAUGCCUGCAUCUGCAUAAUUGCUUCCAGACCCCAGAUGGGAACCAAACCACCUUGAACCCAGCCUGGGUUCCGACCAUCAUAAGCCAUGUUGACCUUUAGCCAGUCCAGGCUUCUCAUCUGUGCCCUGGACAGUGCUUCCUCACCGGGAUCACAUAUUGAGUUAACAAAGGUAAAGCAAAUGGUUGUAGAGGGCUUAGCUCAGUGCAGGCUGGUACCUAGCACCCUGUGCUGUCCUGGAUGCAAUUAGCCAGGCCCUUCUUGCACUGUGCACUUCUUGCACUGUGACAUUAUUUUUUAGAAUAAAUUUUUGAACUUUUUCCUGAGAAAUGUUUGGUACAGCUGUGAUGCUGCUUGGGAUAAUUAGAAACAUUCUGGGAUGUCAGAAAUAAGAAAUACUUCUUUCAGUGUUCCCAAGUAGAUGUAAUUGAUAUAUCCCCAGAUUUGCCAGCUAAAAAACAAGAAUAUUCUUCCCUUAGUAUCCAAAUAGAAAUGAAGCCCUACUCAGGGGCCACAGGAAGCCCCCUGUCUUUCUCUCUUUCUAUAUUUCUGUCUCUGUUUUCACUGUGUCUGCCCUGUAGCAUAUGGAGCUCCCCAGCCAUGGAUCAGAUCCAAGCUGCAGUUGUGACCUAAGCCACAGCUGCAGCAACCCUGGAUCCUUAACCCACUGUGCCAGGCUAGGGGCUGAACCUGUAUCGCUGUGCUCCUAAGACGCCACCGAUCCCAGUGCACCACAGCAGGAACUCCCCAUCCCCUUUCUGAAUAUACCUCUCAAGUGGUUUCUGGACAUCCUGGAGGAAGGCAUACAAUUUGUUGAAUCCUGGCUCUCUGGAGCUCUGCGAAUCUCCUAGUUCAGACUGUGUUUGGCUUCUUCAGGCUGGUCUUGGCCCCCGUGCCUGGUGCACUGAGCAGGAACUCUGGUUGCUCCCUCUGGUCCUCAUAGCCAAGCAGAGACUGGGCUUUGGAAGGGGAAACAGACAUCCAGCCUAAAGAGUAAUAGGCACUGCUGCUCAGGUGCUCCUAAGGGUCCUGUGCCCAGACCCAUCUGAGACCAAGGAGUAUUAAAGGAAACUUCUAUCAGGCGGGGCCAGGUCAAUCCCCACCAAAGAGCAUGCCCAGGCAUCUUCCUACCAUGGCGUCCAGCCACAGGAAGAGAAAUUCCUUCCCUCCUCCAUCCUGGGCCAACUCAUUCCCACACAAGAUGGCUGUCAGUGGGAAAAUCCAUUUUCCUCAGCAAGGCUUAACCCCCACACAUGGCUAGGCUUCCUCCACAGACCAGACAAAGCCCUCGAAUGGUUAGUUAUAUGUCAGGACACUGAUGAUCAAAUCCGGAGAGCCCUGGUCUGUGCCUGUUUCCACCUUCUCAAGGUCUUCCUCAGCUUUCAGCUUAAGGUGAAGGUAAGUCAGACUGCUUCUCCCUCCUGCUGUGGCUCAGGUUCACAACCCCUUGUACAUAUUUGUGCAUUAAGACACCCAAAUAACUUCAUGAAACAAGAAUCUUCAAGGACAAUCCAGCCUCACCUCCAUCCUUAAUUUUCAUUCAACAAAUAUUUUUAAAUGCCUAUUAUGUGGCCAGCACUGCUUUAGGGACUGGAAUACAGCAGGGAACAAAGCAAAACCCUACCCUCGGGGUCUGGUGUUUCAUUCUGGUGAGGGGAAGCAGUAAACAAACAUAAAACUGGGAUCUAUCAAUUGAAUGUACUUGCUGAAAAGGAAUAAAAGCCGAGGGAAGGGAUAAGCAGUGAUGGGGGAGAAUAUCUGCAGAGGGUAAAGAGGGAGGGUUUUUCUGAUAAGGAUACAUUUGAGCAGGGUCCUGAAUCAAGGGAAGGGGCAUGACAGGGGCUAACGACACCCCGGCAUCCUUCAUCCUUCAGUGGCUUUUGUAACAGUACCUCAGAGCUCUUGCUAAGCCAAUAGAUGACAUCUGUACUGAUGAUAUUUCCCAGCUUUCCUUGCAACUCUGGGUGCCAUGGACUAAUUUGGGGCCAACUGGAUCUGAGAAGUGAUGUGUGUAACUUCUGAGUCAUCUUUUUAAAGACAUUUACUUUUUUCCUGCCAACUGGGAAAUGGUAACAACUGGAGCAACCUUGGAGACCAUACCGUGAGAUGGGAGAGCUGCCCUGACAUGAGAGAGAAAUACAAUUCUAUUCUGAAUUAAGUGCUAUGUUUGGUUAGAGUCGCUUGGCUUGUAGCUCAGCUAAUUCACAGAAGGAGCUGUGUGGGUUUGUAGGGAGGCACUUUUCUAGCAAGGGUAAUAGUGUCAGCAGAGACUGUAAAGUAGGAACUUACCAGGAAUGUUAGAGGAACAGCAAAGAGGUCACUGGCGUUGGAGUGGAGCAGUAGGAGAUGAAAUUAGGAAAGUGUCAGAGGAGAGAUCAUGUAGUCCGUGGGCACCUUCCCUGCGGCUUGGGGUUUUAUUCUUGUGAGCUGUGGAUGUACGGCUGGAGCAAAGGAAUGACAUGAUGUGACUCUGGUUUUCAAAAGAUCAUCCUCACUGUUAUGAAUAGAGCAUGGAAGCAGGGUGGAAAUGUGGAGAGACUAGUUUAGAGGUUAUCACAGUAUCCCAGCAAGAGAGCACAGUGGCUUGAAGUAGGGUGCCAAUGGUGGUGCACUUACAGCGUUUUUCUCAAGUGUGCUAUUUCCCAUGUACUGAUGAAUUGCAAAUGAGAGAAAGAAGUGCGGGUGAUAAGUAUAGAAGGAAUUGACAUGGGAAUUAGAAGAUCAUAUGAGGAGGUCUGGGAGUGGAGGAGUUAAGUGACUUACGUUUUCUUUGCUCACAAGCUUUGUAUGACCACCUUCUGUUUACGUAAUUGUAAUUAAGCUUAUCUCAGCCUCUAUCAAUCAGACUCUACAGCAUGAACUCUGCCACCUGUCUUUCCUCUAUUUGACCUCUGCUCUGUCUUCCUGUCUUUAGUCUAAGUCUAAUUCAGCCCAUUCAUCCAUUUGGGGAGACGUUCAGUGUCAGCAGAAGAUAGUGAUCUCUGAGUGACAUACCUCAAUUACCUUCUUUCUCAAAAGCACUUAGGGAAAGAGAAAAUGAGAACAGGGAUAAGGACUCAAUGUUGGAGAUAUGCACUGUAAUUGGAGAAGGGAUGGGAGGUUGAAAUGCUGAGGAAAGUCAGGAGGGAGGAGAAAGCCCAAGGCUGGGACUGUGGGGAAAAGUGAAAGUUGUGCAGAGGGAGACGGGGCAGGUAUGAAUGGACCAGAGGUGAGGGGAAAUGAUGACAGUCCAUGCUAGGGACCAGCAAACAGGAGGAAUGACCUUGCUUCUCCUUUUGUAAUGGAGCAGAUAAUACGUGCCCUGUAAAUCACUGGGAUCAAGUAAUCUUGAGGAAGUGGUCCCAAGAGAAUUGUCACACUUUCAAGAUCUGAUUAUAAAUUAGGUAUGAGCCCAGUUGUUCCUAUAGGAAACACGGCAAUGUUAGCACCAUCCUCUGUCCAAGGGUGUACAAAUGACUUAAUGUGAGAAACCCUUCUUCAUUUCCAGGGGAAAAUUAUCCAUGGCCAUUUCAAGCCAUCUAGGGAAACCCAAACCCAAACUCCAGGGAUGACUUUGUUUUGUCAUUUGAUAAGAGAACGUUCCCAGAAUGGGCAGUCAUUGAAAGUGGAACAGGAUAACCUUAAAGCUGCUUUAGAGACUGGAAAAUAUUCAGCAUUAUGAAGCAAACAUGGAGGGACACAUGUUUUAAAUCAGUGAUUAACACGUUAAAUACAUGUUUAUGCAAGGGGCGCCUUCUUCUUCUUUUUUUAAAUUUAUUUUUUUGUUAUUCAAUGAAUUUAUUACAUGUACAAUGAACAUCACAUAAUCACCAUUUCCCUUUAUGAUUUGUAGCUAACAAUAAAUUUUUUUUUUUUUUUUUUUGUCUUUUUGCCUUUU